GCCAGCCACAGACCUUGGACGGCGGCGGAGCUCCAGGCCCAGGCUCCAACUGACCUCCCUCCUGCUCCAGCUGGCCACACUAACAAGAGCCAGGGCACAAGAUUCACCCAGUCUUCAGCAGGGAUGCUCACAGAGCUGGGCCAAAGCUUUCUACCUAGGCUGUCCCCUGGAGAGCCCAUGAGGCAGGUGGGGAAGGCCAGGGCCCCAAGGGGUGGCCCAGGGGGUGGAGAGGAGGCUGAGAGCUGACCCCAGCCACUUGGGGACUCAGGGGACCUGCCUGUGAGCUGCCCUGCUGCCCCCUC
rnacentral:lncRNA from 1 species